AAAAAAAAAAAAUGUACAUAAUCAUACCUUCCCUCUCUGCCUCACAGGGUGCCUAUGAGGACAAAAAAGGUGGUAUAUGUGAAAGUGCUUCAUAACUGAGCUGGUAAUCCAUAGAUGUCUGGUAUUAGCAAUGUUUUCUAAUAAAAUAAUAAGAGUAAUACUCGUUAUAACCUCUUUGCUUUGACAGUGCCUUUCAUUGCAGCCAUUCAGUAAUUUUGCAGCUUAUUAUCACCUGUAUAACACCCCUGUUGCUACCAUGUCUAAAGGUGCACAAGCAGCCAGCCAGUGAGGGAAGGGGAAGGUCUUUCUUCUCAGCAUGUCUUUAGAGCAGUGAUUCUCUAAGUUGUAGCACACUGGAAUCCCCUGGGGAGCUUCACACAUGCAGGUGUCUAGGUCCCACCCUGGCCAAUUAAAAUUUAAUCUGGUGGGGAGGAACUGGGCACCAGUAUUUUUUUAAAGUUUCCCAAGUGAUUCUAAUAUGCAGCCAAGGUUGGCAACCACUGCUCUUUGGACUAUUUGUACAUCUCAGUGGCUGCUGAAAGUGAUCACAGUUUUAAAAGAACACAGCUUGUGGUUCUGGAAAAAUCCAUCUGCUUUUUCCAGAAAUGUAGUACGUAAGUCAAAUAGGUCUGAGGUCACUUGGGAGAGAAAUCCAAGAGUUGGACUGAGAGCUCAAACCACAAAGAUUCUAAAUGCCACCAUCACUUAGAUAGCUGCCCUUUUUCCUGAACUGCCACUGUUGACAGAUAAGAUGGUGCACACAGCGAGAAUCUGAGCAGCACAGAGCCCCCCAUCCCCAUCACUGUUCCUCCACUAAGCUCCCCUUGAAAACAUUCCACAGGACUUCCUAUUCACGGUGAUUAGAAAAGUGAAUACCUCCUAUUUUAAAAGAAAAAAAUCUCAGAGGAUAAGCACGUAGCCGACGAGUGGCCAAUUCUGUAAUUUUCCCCAUGGAUAAUAAGGAAAUAAUCAUACAUUAUUUAAUAAUGUAUUUUUCCAUUGAAUUCCAAUGUGUCUACAAAUUAUACAUGUUUUAUAUGAUGUUUCACUUUAGGGUUAAGCCAAAUAAGCAUACAUUUAUUUUAUAAAUAUAAAUAUAUUAUCUAUUAAAAUAGUUUCUAGUAAAAACAUAGGUUUAGCUAUUUGACUCAAAUUUCUUAAAGAAGCCAUAGUUAGAAGAAAAUAUCCACUAGAGUAUACUAGACUUUAUGUCUUCGCAGGAGAAGUAACACUUCCUCAUCUGUUUACCUCUCAACUCCCUUCUCCAACUAGAAAUGAAGACACAAGAUAAUAAAAGGAUUUGACUUUUCAGUAUCCCUUUCGAACUGGGCACCACCCAGAAGAAAGAUUCUGUUAACUACUCCCUUUAGAAAUUAUCUCAAGGAACCCCUCCCUGGUCAUCGUCUCUGGAUGGAGUCACACAGCCUCUGCUUCGGCAUCUGUCUUGUAUGCUGCCUUACAAACCUUACAGCUGCCCUCACGCUUUGCACCUGUGAAUGUGGACUCUCCUUCUUCGGGUGCCUUGCUCUGCAUGGUUCAGUGCCUUCGCUGUGCUCUUCUACCUGAAAUCUCCUGCCUCUACUUGUCUACCAGGAAAACCCUAACCGACCACCAAGCCUCAGCUCAAAUGCUGUGUCCUAUGGAAGUUCCUCUAGGCAGAUUUAGUGGCUGCUUCUGCUGGACCUCCCAUAGACACACACACACCUUUGUCCACACAUCCAUUAUAACCACUAUCUUUUCUCAUUGCAUAUGCUUAUUAUGUUCAAAUUCAUCUCCCCACUAGACUAAGUCCCUUGAGGCCAGGAAUGAUGUCUUACCUUUGCAUUCUCAGCAGCUAGUCUAUUGCCCAGUAAUAAAGUAUUACUUAAUGAAUACAUCAAAUGAAUGUAUGAAUAAAUGAUACCUAAACAAAGUUCUACAGGAGCCUAGAAAUGGGAGCUAUAACCGGUGACUGGCCACACUGAAGAAGCAGCAUUUGACCUUGUAUUGAAGAACAAGUUUGAUUUUGCUUGGCAGAAAAAAAAAAAGGAGAGGACUAUAAGCAGAAGAAUAACAAGAACAAAGGCAUAGGAGUGGGCAAAUCCGUGGUCUUCUCAGAGAGCACCUCAUGUUACAGGUCCAGUGGAAGACAGACAUGAAAGAGGAAGUUUGGACCAGAAUAAUGUAUGUGCUAAGGAGCUGUGGGCCUUAUUCUGGACAUAAUAAAGAACCAUGAAAAAAUUUUGAAUAGGGAAAAGUCAUGACCAGAUACAUGACUUGAUUGGAGGUUGGUUAGAAGGAAAUUGCUAUGAUCUGGGCAAUUGAAGUAAGUGAAAGCCUGAUAGAGUUGCAGCAGCAGUAGGAGGAGGGAAACCAAGUAAAUUUGAGAAGCAUUUUGGAAAUAGGAUCAAGAUGACUUGGCAACCAAUUGAAUAUGGGAAGUGAGGAACCAGUGAAGCUGAAGCUUGGCCAAGCUUUCUGACCUGGCAACUGAGUGAACACUCAGACAACACCACCUACAACUAUAUCGUCUUUACAGGCAGAUUGGAAGCUCUGAGAGAGUAAGGCCCUUGCUCUUGGUGUAUCCUCUACAUCUCUUGUAGCUCCUAACACUGACCGUGCAUUCAGAGGUUCCUAGUAAACAUUUGUUGAAAGAAUUGAUGAUGUUUCUUAUACUCACCAAAUAUGUCAAAAAGGAAAAUAUAAUACAAUGUCUUUUCUUCAGAGACAUUUUCAAAUUCUCAGCAUGUUUUUCCACCACAAAUGAAUUCACAACUAUCUCAUUCAACUUGUACAUCCACAAAAGUGACCCAUUGUUGCACAAACUGAAAUCUCCUUUAAGAUUGUGUGUGUGCUGGGGAGGACAGUCAAACGGUUGGUAUUUUUACUUUUUUUUUUUUUUUUUUUGGAGAGAGGGCUAUGAUAUUUUUGGUCCUCUGAAAAUGAAUCCAAAACAAUAAAACAAGCUGAAUGUUUUCCUCUAGUGGAAAGAAAGAAAGCAAACCUACUACAGGUAAAUUGAAAUCUUCAAACAGACCCAUAACACACUGCUGAGACAUUCUUGAGAUGAUGGCUUUAGUUAGACUGGGGCCACACAUCUUUACAUUUCUUCAUUCACCUGGCAGGACUAAUGAGAUUUUAUGGCGGGCAAGCUGUUUAUCCCUUGGGUGACAUUGGCAAGCACAUCUAUAUCUUUAUCAAUCAAGGGUUUUCUGCACUGCAACUCCCACCCCCAACCUAAAGAUUGCCCCAGCCUGGAUCACAACAUUUACAACACGUAAGAACCUCAUUCCUUUUC
rnacentral:lncRNA from 1 species